ACCAGACUCCUACGGGAGGCAGCAGUGGGGAAUAUUGGGCAAUGGGCGCAAGCCUGACCCAGCAACGCCGCGUGAAGGAAGAAGGCCCUCGGGUUGUAAACUUCUUUUAUCAGGGACGAAACAAAUGACGGUACCUGAUGAAUAAGCCACGGCUAACUCCGUGCCAGCAGCCGCGGUAAUACGGAGGAUGCGAGCGUUAUCCGGAUUUAUUGGGUUUAAAGGGUGCGUAGGCGGGCUUUUAAGUCAGCGGUAAAAAUUCGGGGCUCAACCCCGUCCGGCCGUUGAAACUGGGGGCCUUGAGUGGGCGAGAAGAAGGCGGAAUGCGUGGUGUAGCGGUGAAAUGCUUAGAUAUCACGAAGAACUCCGAUUGCGAAGGCAGCCUACUAAACUGCCACUGACAUUGAUGCUCGAAAGUGUGGGUAUCAAACAGGAUUAGAUACCCGGGUAGA
rnacentral:rRNA from 1 species